UACAGAGGUGGCAAGCGUUGUUCGGAAUUACUGGGCGUAAAGGGCGCGUAGGCGGUUCGGUAAGUCCUGUGUGAAAUCCCUCGGCUCAACUGAGGAACUGCACGGGAGACUGCCGGGCUUGAGUUCGGGAGAGGGAAGCGGAAUUCCGGGUGUAGCGGUGAAAUGCGUAGAUAUCCGGAGGAACACCGGUGGCGAAGGCGGCUCUCUGGGACGGUACUGACGCUGAGACGCGAAAGCGUGGGGAGCGAACAGG
rnacentral:rRNA from 1 species